GGCGAGAUCCACGUAUUGCCCUUUCGGAAGUUGUCAGGCUUGAAAGCCGGCUUUUCCAAGGCGAAACAAAGGGGAGAAAGUUGCGGUUUGAAGAUGCCUAUGAGGAAAACGAAAGGAAGAUGAUAAAAACGCUUUCAUAAAGACCUCUCUCGAUAUGCCUGGACCUACGGCGGCCCGGGCCAUGUAUUGGUCUUCGUCGGAGUAGUAAGCUUCCAGGCCCAUGUCUUGGAACAGUUCUGUACACGAGACAAUAAACAGAGUCCAAUGAGUGGGACGUUUUGCAGCAAA